UGGACACAGCUACAAGCACAACUCUUAAAGGCGGGGCCUUGCUCUGUGUUUCUGGGUGGAUUUGGGCAAGAAGUUCCUCUGGCCUCACGAGGAAGGCCACUACUGGCCAGAGAGAAAUAAAAGCCAAGAAUAACCAGAAGGUAGAGGCAUCAAUAGAGAGAGCCACUUUAAGGUUUUCCUGAAAGAGAGCUUCCCUCAACCACACUGACCCUCGCCAGCAGCUGGAGAUGGUCAUUGCAUCAACAGGCUGUGAAUGGUUCUGCCAGAGUCUCUCUUCUGGGCCCAGUGAUCUUCAGGGAAAAUGGACUCAAGGACCUGAGAGUGGAGGAAAGAAUGUCAAAUUCAGGCAGGGCAUGACCUACCCUGCUUUCCAGCAUCAGUAGGGAGUGAGAGGACAGCCACUGUGAACUCAGAUGCUCCCAGUGGGCUGGCUCCUGACAGGAGGGAGACGGUUGGAGGCUCAGCAGGUGAGUCUGAGGUGCAGUGCUGGAGGCUGGGAAGUCCGAGAUCAUGGCCAGCAUUGUCAGGUUCUGGGUGGUCAAAGUCUGCCCGCGGGACCUGCAGGACUGAAACCAAGAAUGUCGUCAUUAAUUCAAAGAUACCUGAAGGCAGAGGAGAGAACCUUUUGGCCUUGGGUCCAUAACUCAGUUUUGCAGUAGGGAAGACCAGAACAGGCUCGUGAAGAGAUUUACCAUGAAGAGGCCAGUGUACCGUUUCCUGGGCAAGCUUCGUUGUGUCUUGCUCUGUUCUGAGCAUCAUUAGAGCCCUCGUUUGAGACAAAUGGGCUCCAUCAUUUCUUCACCAUUCAGGCCCGUAGGAGGAAGAUGGCACGUGAGUGAAGCUUCGACAUGGCAGUCACCUUCCCUUUAUUUCUGCUCUCCCUUCUUUUUGGGUAAUGAAUCGGGGUGUCGUUAGCUGCCUGCCUUGUGUUCAUCACUGUCAGUACUGGCAGGGUAACAGAUAAUGGCAGAGAUUCAAGGCCACCCAGGGAAUGAAGCCUGACAGGACCUCAUUUAUCACUCCCCUUUUAGGGGGUCUCUGUGGUAGAGCUAGCAUCAAAGCUGUAAUCGAAGCUCACCAGGUCGCACAGGGGCCAGGCAGGAUUGCUCCGCCAAAAAGCAACUGGAGCUGUCAAAUCUGUUUUGUAAAUGAAGUGCUUUUCUAGAGACAGUGUUGUUUAUAAUUGUCAUUCUGUACGUAGUCCCUCAAUAUCCAAGAGCUGUUCUCCAUGUGCUCCCUCUCAUUUCUUUCCGACAAAUGAAACUUACAUUCUGUAGAGAAAAGGUAAGCCAGAAAAUGGAUUUCUUUGACCUUGGCUCUACCACAGCAUACUCUAGUUCCGAGGUUUAUCUUUUUGCCCUCAAGGAUUUGAGUGUCACCUAUUUGAGCAGCUCAAUUAUUGAGAGCAGGUGGGAACGGCCUGACUUGAGAACUGCCUCUUCCCUGGGCAAGUCUAUUUCAAGGCUAACCUUCAUCCAUAUAUGUCAACAACUUCCAGGUUUAUAUAAGCAGCCAGCUCAGUCCUGUAUUCUCCAUUCCAGAACCAUAUGUCCGAGUCUCUACUUGGAGAUUCCACAGGCCCCUCAGAUCCAUAUCCCAGACAGGAUAGAUCAUGUCGACUCCAAACCUGCUUCCCAUCUGUAUUCUCAUCCUGAAGAAAUGCACCAUCUUCAACAGGAGAAGAAAAGCAUCCGAGAUGCUUUGCUCAUUUUUACCCUUCUCUAAAAUCUAAUCAAAACGAAAUUUGUUGGAACCAAUUCCUAAGUAUCUCCUCCAUCUCCUUGUCCCACCUAGAUCUUUUCAAUAGCUUUCUUAUUGCUCUUCCUGCACUUACAAUCCCUCAAUAUUGAAUGACCUGCCUGCCCUAGAAGAUGCUAGUCCUUUAAUGUUUCUGUGCCUUUUUGCAUGCUGUUUCCUCUUCCAGGAAUGUUCUCCCAAUACAUGCUCCCUCAGCAGAUUCUAUUCACUAUUUAAUUCUCAGUGCAGGGACUUUGUUAUCUGUAAAAAUGUCUCCAACUCUCUUCCAGUCAUUUACUACUUGUUUUAAGGUUGUUGUUGUUGUUUUUCUUUCAUGCCUCCUUUCCACCCCGAUGCAAAUGUUAUUUACUGAGAGCUCCCAACUGUCAGGUACUGUAUUAGUUUCUUUACAUAGUUGUAUUUAAUUCCCAAGUUAGCCUGUAUGAUAGAUACUGUGAGACCAUUUGUACAGAUGAUGAAACCAAGGUUCAGACUGAUUAAAUAGUUUCCCCAAAUUCAUACAUGUAGUAAACGGUGGUAAUGGGCUUCACCUCCAAGCUGCUGCUCUUCCCAUUGUUUUAAACUGUAUCUGCUCAUGCGUUGAGAAUAAGCACUGUGUGUUUUUGUUUUCAUUUUCCGAGUGCUGAACACAGUGUUUGGUAGGAUAGACAUUCAACAGGUAGUUACAGAAUGAAUGAAACUCAUAAAAGACUCCGUCUAUUUAUACCCACAAGGUACAUUGUCUCUGUUUUUCACAACAACCCUGAAUUACUGGCAUUGAUUUGCCCAAUUUUUGCAGCAGUGGAAACUGAAGCUCACGCAGUUAAAUGACUUUGCUAAGGUCAUAUAUGAGGCCGAGUCAACGCUUUCUUUCUCUAUAGCCCAUAUUCUCAACACGGCACGCUAGCUGUCAAAGAGUGACUUCUCCGAUGGCAAUGAAUGAAUCGGCAUCAAGAAAGGGAUAUAGAGACAUUAAGAGCGUAUGAUUCAGGUUCAAAUGCAUUCCUGUGCCCUUCAAGGCUUUCUGUAGUUUCAUUAUAUUCUUUCCAGCCAGCUUUCUCUAACACAACUCUGAGACAUCCAUUUCCCUUCUGUUUAGUUAGACUAGCGUCUUCACGUGCCCUCUGACACAUCAUGCCUGUUUCUGAUCUCCGAUUUUACUCACACUCCUUCCACUGCCUGAAGUGCCCUUCUCUCCUGCUGCACCCAGCCAAAUCCAUACAUCUCUCAAGGACAAGCUCAAGUUCCAUCUCUUCUGUGAACUAUUCCCCAUAGCUCCAUCCUGCCUGCCCUAACCAAACAUAAUGUUGUCCGCACCUUAUAUUUCGGCCUUGGUUACAUAAUUCAAUUGUGUUGCCGUGUACUGUCUUGUAUCCUGUAAUUACUUCAGCACCCAAGGUGUAUUCCCAGGAAUAUUGCAAACUGCUUGACAGGAAGGACUGUGCUAUAUAUUUCUUUUAUAUUCCCCACAGUGCAUAGCACAAUUCUAGGUGGGCCCUCAAUAAAUAUUCAUUGAGUUAAAUCGAAUAUGGCACAGACUACAUUUAAACCUUCACAAAUUUUCUUUUCAUAAAUUAUACAAGCCUAGACAAGAGGAUUAUUGCAGGGAACCAAUGAAUAUACUCAGUCUGCGCAAGUACACAUGAGAUCGCAGGACCGCGAUGCAGGCUCUUGGACAAAAAGGAGCGGGUAAAAUGGGAUUUGGUGCCACGGGUGGGAAGAGGAAGACUGUACCGGAUCAGAGAGGAGGGGUGAUAGUAGCUGCAGCAAGAGAAGUGAAUGAGAGCUCACAACCCAGAAAUGUGCCUCCAUACCAGAGAGACUGCCAAGGACUUCCGUUUUUUGAAGUUCUUAACAAGUUAAAUAAUUUGACAAUGUGUUCUUUGGUAGUCAGGAGAUUUGCUAACCAAAUAUCUUGCUGGGUCAGCAAAAUAACACUACUCUCAAUCAUUUCUGCACAGGUGGAAUGCAGCGUUUUCAGAGUUUUAGUAAUAAAAAAAUACUUCUAUUUCUUUGUGCUGCUCCUGCUCCCAAUGUUCUCUCUCUUUCUGUCUCUCUUCUCUCUUACUCUCUCUCUCUCUCUCUCUCACACACACACACACACACACACACACACUCCCUCACACUUACACACUCACAUAGACAUGCAUUGUCUCUUUCACUUGGAUAGUCCUCCCUGAAUAUUUGGGAUGAUAAUAGCCUCUCCUAAGUGACUAGAUUCUUGAAAGAUUUUGUGAUUUUUUUUUUUUAAACUUUCAUCUUGGAUAUACAUGUUUGAAGAUAUGGAGGCAGCUGGUGUGUGGAAUUUGACUCAUUAAAAUGACAUGACUCUAAUCAUUCAGACAAAAAAAUGACAUUAUUUCAAACCAUUCACAACCUUGAUGUAUCCCUGGGGAUUUUUCAGCGUCCUUAUUUUUUAAAUAUCUGGCUUUCUUCCCCCCUCUCCUGACCUCAUUCCUGUACUUGAAGCUUCUGGAUUAUUGCCAGGAACACUUUCCGAAACAGUACUGAGAAGAUAGAAAUCUAACAUUCCAGAAGCACAGAUUGGGAUUAAAUGGCAACUCAAGGGACUAUUUUGUCCAUUUCCUUGCUUUCUAAGGGGAGAGAAAUCAUAAAACAUUUCCAUUCACUUGAUUGCAAUUGAAAAUCCUUAAAUAUCUCCAGGGAAAAACAUGCUACCACCUUACCAGGAAAUAGUUUCUGAUGUUCCAUAAAUGCUUUCAAAUAUUAAGAAAUUCUUCUCUAUAAGGCAAUGUUUUUAUAUCUUCAUCUCUCUUUUUCUUCUUUCUUCUCUUUUUGAUUCUUGGUGCUUAAUCAUGAAGCAAUGAUUAGUUCCCAUUUGAAAGCUUUCUGAUUCCACUAAGGAAAUAGUUUUUGGGAGGUAACAGACAAAAACUGGCUGUUUUUGGCUGGCUGGCCCAUCCCAGAUCCACAUAUCUCCACCUCCCAGCUGAGUGUGACCGUGUGACAAGGUUCUGGCCAAUGAGUUUAAACAGAGGAUGCUGUUUACAGACUUCUAGAAGGUAAGGCAUUUGUGUUAUUUAAGCUGCUAAGUUUGCGACAACUCGUUACAGUAGUAACAGGAAACGAACACACUAGGUUUGCUUGUUUUCCUACUUAACCUCUCUAUUCUACACAGCUCCUCAGUGUCUCCCUCUUCUCCCCCCUUCACCUUGUGCUAUGAGGACUAUUAGUCUUUCUUAUGAAUCCAUUAGAACUUUAGACAAUAAACUAGAAAUAGGCACUUAAAUUCUUCUUUCUUUGGGUAAUUGCUCUCAGGUUCCUAUUAAAUGUAGCCAUUUUCACCAUGAAGAUGGCACUAUUGAGCCCAUUUAAGUUACAUCUCUCAUCACUUUGAACUUGGAUUACUGUAGCAACCUUCUCAGUGUUCUCCAUUCUAUAUUUUAUCCCCCUAACUAGAUACAACAGGUUUUUCUUUGUUUUUUGUUUUAAAUGUUUAUUCAUUUUUGAGAGAGAGAGAGCGUGAGCAAGUGUGAGUGGGGGAGGGGCAGAGAGAGGGGGGACAGAAGAUCUGAAGUGGACUCUGUGCUGACAGCAGCAGGGCCUAUGUGGGGCUCGAACUCACGAACUGCGAGAUCAUGACCUGAGCCUAAGUUGGACGUUCAACUGACUGAGCCAUCCAGGCGCCACAUACAACAGAUUUUUCUAAUGUGCCACUUUUGUCAUGCAAUCCUUGAUCAAGAAUCUACACUGCUCCAUUUCCUAAUUAACAGAGACUCAGUCUUCUUUUGAGCCUUCAUAAUGUGAUCCUACUUUGUAUUUCCAACCAGAACUUAAACUUUCUGUUUGAUUGGGUUACUCUUCUCUCCCAUCUCCUAUGUCAUAACAAAUCCUUGUCUAGCCUGGAAUGAUCUUCUCUCAUCUGUUUCUUUUUUCUUUCCUUUU